rnacentral:lncRNA from 1 species
GAGUGAGGGACCUAGAAAGGGGAUAACAAUUGAAAUGUAAAUAAAGAAAAUAUCCAAUAAAGAAUUUUUUAAAGCCCUCCUGAUCAGUCUCCCUGCCUCUGUUCUGUAGUUCCUGCUGCCAGCAGUAGUUAGAACUUUCCAUUCAAAUAUGAAGUUACUUUAUUUCUCGUCUCUGAAGCCUUCAGUGGGCUCCUGAAAAAUCCCAAGUCCCAACAUCAUCCUCUGUAGCAAAGGAAUAAGGGAAGGGAAGAAGUAGUGGACACAGCAGUAUCCUUUGAGAUGCCCUGCCAUUGGCAUAUUACUCACUAUUGCUAGUACUUGUGUGCUUUUAACUCAUUUUGCCUAAAGCACCAAAAUUACAUUACAUCAGCAGAUAGAUUAGAAAAGCAGGAAAGCCCUGUAGUGUGCUUGCUCACACAAAACAGAAUGCAUGAACGAUAGCUGGGCCAAACUAGUGUCACAUUUUAGACUUGAGCUUUAGUACUGAGAUUAGCCAACAGACUAGUUUCUGUUUAUUGUAACUAUAAUGCAGUCACAAUAUAUAGGUUUUAAUUAUUUAAUUUUAUAUGCAUAAUAUUUUUAUGCACUAUCAUGAACUAUUUGCAGUCUUCAUUUAUCUCAUUUUUUUAAUGAGCAGUGUUAAUAGUUAAUAGUUUUCAUAAAAUUUUAAUUUUAUACAAAUACCUUAGCCUAGCUAGUCUGAUUCUUUGGCCUAAUAAAAUAAACGUAUUUAAGAGGGAACUGGAUCAUCAAUAUUUAAUGCAGUUACACAGCACACCUAAGGAACCAUAGGCAUUUUGGUGUUGGCCAGAUCAUUGGCUCUGCCUAGGCCUGGAUCAUUUAAGCUCAGGGACUGAGAGCAAGGCCAUUCAGCUUUCCCAAAAGUCAGGAGCCUGAGAGAUGCUAAGUAGAAUGUCAAAUGCCUGAGUCCUCCAGCUUGCUCUGAAAAGCAGCAGCUCUGGGAGCGUACCAGAGACAUGCACAGUGUAAAACACAAAGGGAGAUUAUAGCACUUGAUUCAAUCCAUCCCUUCUAAAUCGAAGUUUACAGUAGUAAUAAAUGAAAAAUGGAAGUUCUUUGUAGGCAUAUUCCUGCUCAGAAAUGUAUUUUUAUGUUUAUAGAAAUUUACAGGUAAAACUAUAUGUUUAAUUUUCAAAAUAUUAUAGUAUUUUGGGCUAAAGGAAAGUUUUAGAGUGUUUGUGUGUGUGUGUGUGUGUGUGUGUGUGUGUGUGUGUGUGUGUGUCUACAUCUGUAUGUGUGAGAGACAGACAGACAGACAAACAGGGAGCGAGGGAAGGAGGAGAUGGAGAGCACAAACAGUUGGGCACAUUGUGGAAGUCAGAAGACAGCCACCCAAGUUCUUUUUCACCUGUGAGGUGGGUCUUUGUUGUUAACCUCUACUGCACACACCAGCUAGGUGGCCCGUGAGCUCUCCUGUCUCAGCCUCUCGUCUCCCUAAGAACACUGGGACUAGAGUUGUCUGUACUAUGUAUCUGGCUUCUAUGUAAUUAUUAGGGACUUGAACUCAGGUCCUCAUGCUUGCCAGUGAGCCAUUUUUCCAGUUCUUAGGCAAGUUUUUAAAGGAGCCAUGAUUGGGUAUUUGUGGACUGCUGUGGGAUAUAGGAGCUUAUAAUAGUAAUCUUUAGUUGAAAUGUCUAAUAUCUAAUACAGCAUAAGAAUUGGAAUGUGUGAAUGUGUUGCUGUAUUUUUAGACUAUUCUUUUCUUUUGAACAGGGUUCAUAUGGUCCAUAUUCCCCUGAUGAGUGCAUCUCUUUGCCUGUUUAUACAAGUGCUGAGAGGGAGCGUGUGGUGACCAACAUUGAUGUUCCCUGUGGUGGUAACCAGGACCAGUGGAUCCAGUGUGGGGCAGCGCUGUUUCUUAAAAAUCAGUAGGUCUCAGGCAAUACAGGAAGACUUAGCAAAGUGACGAUUGCUGCAACACUCCACACAGAGCAUGAAGUCAGUCUGCAUUAGGAACGUUAGUUCAAUAUAUCUGCUGUUAGUUGUUCUUGCUGAUGGUCUCCUUGUAUUUCUAUUUUAAUAAAUGUGUAACACCAGCACUGUGUACCUUAAAGAAGUUCAUAUUACAGUGGGGUAUUUGGUGGUAGGUAUUAAAUAUUUUUAUGAGGAAGUUUACUCUUCAGUAGUUUAAAUAUUUACAAUUUAAAGUUCUAUAUUUAAGAAAUAUAUUUUGGUUUCAAAUAAUUGCAUAUAAAGUUAUUGUAUUCUCCUACAGUUUUAAAUAUAUGUACACACAUUAAGCAUUGAGCCAUGUACAAAAGUAUAAUGAAUGAAUUACCUUAACAAUUAAACAUGAUGUCAUUUCUUUGUGUACAUUAAAUGAUAUAAUACAUAUCCUACCAGUAAAGAGGAAGAAUAUAGAUAAUGAAACAUAAAUUCUGUCAUAGGAUUUAGAGUCACCUUCUUUCUAUGUGCUUUGGAACUUGUAUUUGAGCUCUGCAAGACUCCCUGAAAUCCAAGAAUGCAGUGGUGUUGCCACUGAGUGACACCUUAGGAGCCUGGAUUACAUCCAGCUCUCCGUCCAUGGGAGCAGACAGCUCUUGAGGGUUGAGAUGUGUGUUGCUGUUAGGCAUGUGCAAUAGCCACUCUUAGCUACUGUGUGUGUCUACACUUGGGCCAGUGCUAUCGGGUGUUUGUUGUUUUGUUUUGCACUUCCCCCAGUAUCAGGCAUGAAAUACAGGGUCCAGUGUAAGGUAGGCAAGCACUCUACGACUGAGAUACACCUCCACACUUGGCAUUUACCAUCAAAGAAAAGUUGCAUACUUAGAGGAGAAAUAACAGCUGAAAUAAAAGGUAAAAAAGAGACUGUGAAUUAAGAAUCUCACAUUAAUACUC